GGGACACGUGGUAUCCUGUCUGAAUAUGGGGGGACCAUCCUCCAAGGCUAAAUACUCCUGACUGACCGAUAGUGAACCAGUACCGUGAGGGAAAGGCGAAAAGAACCCCGGCGAGGGGAGUGAAAAAGAACCUGAAACCGUGUACGUACAAGCAGUGGGAGCACGCUUAGGCGUGUGACUGCGUACCUUUUGUAUAAUGGGUCAGCGACUUAUAUUCUGUAGCAAGGUUAACCGAAUAGGGGAGCCGAAGGGAAACCGAGUCUUAACUGGGCGUUAAGUUGCAGGGUAUAGACCCGAAACCCGGUGAUCUAGCCAUGGGCAGGUUGAAGGUUGGGUAACACUAACUGGAGGACCGAACCGACUAAUGUUGAAAAAUUAGCGGAUGACUUGUGGCUGGGGGUGAAAGGCCAAUCAAACCGGGAGAUAGCUGGUUCUCCCCGAAAGCUAUUUAGGUAGCGCCUCGUGAAUUCAUCUCCGGGGGUAGAGCACUGUUUCGGCAAGGGGGUCAUCCCGACUUACCAACCCGAUGCAAACUGCGAAUACCGGAGAAUGUUAUCACGGGAGACACACGGCGGGUGCUAACGUCCGUCGUGAAGAGGGAAACAACCCAGACCGCCAGCUAAGGUCCCAAAGUCAUGGUUAAGUGGGAAACGAUGUGGGAAGGCCCAGACAGCCAGGAUGUUGGCUUAGAAGCAGCCAUCAUUUAAAGAAAGCGUAAUAGCUCACUGGUCGAGUCGGCCUGCGCGGAAGAUGUAACGGGGCUAAACCAUGCACCGAAGCUGCGGCAGCGACGCUUAUGCGUUGUUGGGUAGGGGAGCGUUCUGUAAGCCUGUGAAGGUGUGCUGUGAGGCAUGCUGGAGGUAUCAGAAGUGCGAAUGCUGACAUAAGUAACGAUAAAGCGGGUGAAAAGCCCGCUCGCCGGAAGACCAAGGGUUCCUGUCCAACGUUAAUCGGGGCAGGGUGAGUCGACCCCUAAGGCGAGGCCGAAAGGCGUAGUCGAUGGGAAACAGGUUAAUAUUCCUGUACUUGGUGUUACUGCGAAGGGGGGACGGAGAAGGCU
rnacentral:rRNA from 1 species